rnacentral:lncRNA from 1 species
UUUACUAUGCUUAAUGUGUAAACAGUUAGAAUAAGGUCUAAGGUAAUGGUUUCCUCCGUUGUUGAUUUCCUUGGUUGUAUAUGUCCCAUAACUAUGAUUUAAUAGCAAUUAUGAUAAUUUACUAGACGCACUCUCUCAAGCUAUGCUAGCUAGAUUCACGAUACGGUUCACUUAGAUUGCACCCGAGUAUCGUUAUCUCUAAUCCAACCUCUAAACCCUCAGUUAUGACUCUCGCCUAUACUUCGGGAGUGAUGUGGUUCAUACAAUCACCUAAAUGUGCACUCUCUCUCAAGUAGAUACAUAAUAAAUAGGAACGGAUAAUUAAGGGUUCACCUAACCACAAUCAAAACAUAGAUGAACAAAUAGGGAUUAACAACAAAAUAUAACUAAAUUAAUAUAACAACCAAGUCAUACCCAACGGGUUCCAC